rnacentral:rRNA from 1 species
GAUGAACGCUGGCGGAAUGCUUUACACAUGCAAGUCGAACGGCAGCACGGGGCAACCUGGUGGCGAGUGGCGAACGGGUGAGUAAUACAUCGGAACGUGCCCAAUCGUGGGGGAUAACGUAGCGAAAGUUACGCUAAUACCGCAUACGAUCUACGGAUGAAAGCGGGGGAUCGCAAGACCUCGCGCGAGUGGAGCGGCUGAUGUCAGAUUAGGUAGUUGGUGGGGUAAAGGCUCACCAAGCCAACGAUCUGUAGCUGGUCUGAGAGGACGACCAGCCACACUGGAACUGAGACACGGUCCAGACUCCUACGGGAGGCAGCAGUGGGGAAUUUUGGACAAUGGGCGCAAGCCUGAUCCAGCCAUUCCGCGUGCAGGAUGAAGGCCUUCGGGUUGUAAACUGCUUUUGUACGGAACGAAACGGCGAGCUCUAAUACAGUUUGUCUAAUGACGGUACCGUAAGAAUAAGACACCGGCUAACUACGUGCCAGCAGCCGCGGUAAAC